rnacentral:rRNA from 1 species
CGAACGGGUGAGUAACACGUGAGCAACCUGCCCCUGACUCUGGGAUAAGCGCUGGAAACGGCGUCUAAUACUGGAUAUGUGACGUGACCGCAUGGUCUGCGUCUGGAAAGAAUUUCGGUUGGGGAUGGGCUCGCGGCCUAUCAGCUUGUUGGUGAGGUAAUGGCUCACCAAGGCGUCGACGGGUAGCCGGCCUGAGAGGGUGACCGGCCACACUGGGACUGAGACACGGCCCAGACUCCUACGGGAGGCAGCAGUGGGGAAUAUUGCACAAUGGGCGCAAGCCUGAUGCAGCAACGCCGCGUGAGGGACGACGGCCUUCGGGUUGUAAACCUCUUUUAGCAGGGAAGAAGCGAAAGUGACGGUACCUGCAGAAAAAGCGCCGGCUAACUACGUGCCAGCAGCCGCGGUAAUACGUAGGGCGCAAGCGUUAU